UUCUUAUCAAGAGAGGUGGAGGGAAUGGCCCUUUGAAACCUCGGCAACGGAUUCCUAUGGAACACCGUGCCAAUUCCUGUGUGCGACUAGUCGCUUACAAGAUGAGAA
rnacentral:ncRNA from 2 species